AUUGAACGCUGGCUGCAUGCUUUACACAUGCAAGUCGAACGGCAGCACGGGGGCAACCCUGGUGGCGAGUGGCGAACGGGUGAGUAAUGCAUCGGAACGUAUCCUUAAGUGGGGGAUAACGCAUCGAAAGAUGCGCUAAUACCGCAUAAUCUCUGAGGAGAAAAGCAGGGGAUCGCAAGACCUUGCGCUUUUGGAGCGGC
rnacentral:rRNA from 1 species